rnacentral:lncRNA from 1 species
CUCAAUAGAAGCCGUAAAACUUCGUAAGAGCUCUAAUGAGCUGGUAUGGCUAAUAAAAGGAUCAGGUGAGGUGUUUGCUAGGCUAUAACCUGAAUAUGAUAAAGAGGUAGAGUGAAUUUCGCCGUCGCAAUCAAUGCCCCUACCCCAACCUCUUCGAUUAUGGCUUCUACCCCAACCUCUUCGAUUAUGGCUUAUUUCAUUUGUCUAGCACAAGCUUAUUGAACCCCCCCCCCCCCCCAAAACAUAAUUGAAGCCAAUGAACCUCCUGCAAGUGCAACUUAACAUUGACCAAGCUUUAGUCAUUUUAUGUUUUUUUCCCCACUG